rnacentral:rRNA from 1 species
CAGUCGCCACGGUAAUACGGAGGGUGCAAGCGUUAAUCGGAUUUACUGGGCGUAAAGCGUGCGUAGGCGGCUUCUUAAGUCGGAUGUGAAAUCCCUGAGCUUAACUUAGGAAUUGCAUUCGAUACUGGGAAGCUAGAGUAUGGGAGAGGAUGGUAGAAUUCCAGGUGUAGCGGUGAAAUGCGUAGAGAUCUGGAGGAAUACCGGUGGCGAAGGCGGCCCCCUGGACAAAGACUGACGCUCAGGUGCGAAAGCGUGGGGAGCAAACAGGAUUAGAUACCCCUGUAGUCCCUGUCUCUUAUAC